rnacentral:lncRNA from 1 species
GUUUCAAUUCAAUGUUGUAAGCAAUUUGGACACGACAACAGCAGUACGACAUUUUUCAUUGGUGUUAUUUCACAUCGUGUUUUCCCAGCUUUGCAGUUAUGAGUAAUUGGACGUUUUAUUUUAACAUUUGAUCGUAGGAAUCAAACCUGUGAUCAGUUUUGAUUUUAACCAAUUCAAUUGAAUUUGUGCCUACCUGCAUGGCAUUCAAAAGGAUUAGUUUUUUAAGCCCUCAAAUAAUAAUCGGCCCCAAGUUACUACACAGAGGCACUGGUGUACUAAACUACGACAUACGCUACACCAAGUUAUUCCAGCGAAGCCCCGAAGUACUAUAUGCUGCUCCCAGCUACACCCCUUACUGUUGUCUACUACACCGCAACAGAAGCAAACAAGUAUUACGUAGCUCCGUCUUAUUACACCACAGCUGCUCCAUCUUACUACACCGAGCCCAACUACUACACAACAACCUCGUCACCCCUGCAUUCUACACUGAGGCCCCAAAAUAUUACUCGCCUCCAAGUUACUACACUGAAGCCUACACCUCAUACGCCAAGCCAGACAACUACACCAAUGCUCCACAAAACUAUGCUACUGCCUCUUAUUAUACAACUAAGGCCCGGAGUACUACGCUAUAGAGAAGGCCGAGUACUACACCACUACCUAUGCUGCUCCAGCGCACUACACUGAAGUUCCAAAUUAUACAAUAGACGUUUUUUAGUAGACUAUCACGGCGUGCUGAUGUCAUGCUGUUUGCAACAAACCUCAAAGAAAAGGAUUGCAGCCGAGGUAUCAUCAUAAUAAUUUCGCUGAUGGUUUGGACUUUGGAGUUCAGUUCUUAUCACUGAUAUUAACCAAACUUAAAUCGACUAGAAAACGUAGACGCUUAUCUCUCAUUCUUUUAGUUUCUUUGACUAAGACAGAAAUUUCAGUAACGAGGAAAGAAGAGAAGUUCGUGUAUUAUGUUUCAUGACUUGUACAGUCAAUUCUUUUGCGUUUUUUAGGCAUUUUGCAUCAAAAUAGAAGGCAAUGAAAAUCGGAAAACCGGAGGCAAUGAGCCAGCUGCCAGAGAUUCCACUGGAUAUCAUUUUAUUUGAUACCAAAUAGCCCGGACAUUUGAAAAUUGAAUAAAAUUUGUAAUUUGGGGUGUUAUAUCAUGAAGGCGGGGACCAUGAUUUAAAGCUUAUAUCAUUCAUCUGGAUUUGAUCAUGUUCACAGCAAAUGUAUCGGACUGAAUGUAUUAGAAGCUGAUAAAAACCCGCUUGGUCUAUGUCAAGUAAUUUCUCUAAAUACGAACGACCCAUUUUGCAGGAGCGUGAACAAUUGGCACUCAAAUACACCACAAGUGAUUGUCUUGUAAAUAAUGAUGUCACUCUUUAACAAACCCGUCAACAAUACCACCGAAGGUCUACCGAGAAACGAAAGGAACCUAAGUAUUACUCAGCUGUCAGCUACCAAACUGAAGCCCCAAAGUACUAUUGAUAGCCCUGUGAUUUUAAUUAGCUCGUUAACAAAAAUAAUGCUUCACUGUUUAAUGUAAAGUUCUACCGAAGGCGUUAUUGAUCAUCAUAAUAAUUUUGCUUCAGCUUUAUUUAUGUUCUUGACUAGAAUCACUUCCGAUUUGGAAUGUGGUAUACUAGCUCAUUUGUCUAUAACAAAUGUUGCCGUUAAUCAACUUCUAAUUACGUUGUUUGUACUCAACACAUCAAUCAAUCGUUUCACAUUCGCUAAUCAAUAAGAGUUUAGUUUUGCUAGUCUGAUAUUUUGAGCGAGUUAUUUCAAAAGAUUAAACGAAAUACCUCAGCGGAGGAAAUGCAGCUUCUGAACAUUUUCAUUUCACGCGUUUGUGAAAUGUUAAUUGAUUAAGAAAAUUGAUUGCAUAAUAAUCAACGACGCAUCACAUUUCACACCUACGCCCGCUUGAAAUCAUCACGUUUUCUGCACCCACUUGUUACAUCAAAGGUACAGCUCACUCCAUAACGCGGUAGGCAAAGUUUUAAAGGACAACACGAGGUGCUCUCAAUCUACUAAAUCAAGCCCAACUUACAGCACUGAAACUACAUCUUAAUGUGCCUGUAGUCAACACAUUGGAGUUUAUUCGCACAUUUUUCGUUUCAAACGAUCGAUAUAGUCUUUGCACUUUACUAACUCGUACCCUAGCUUUUCCCUGCAUAGUUACUCUGUCAUGUUUAAUAGUUAAUUUCACGUGAAAGUGUAAUAAAACCGGCUUUAAAAACGCAA